rnacentral:rRNA from 1 species
CCAGACUCCUACGGGAGGCAGCAGUGGGGAAUAUUGCACAAUGGGGGAAACCCUGAUGCAGCGACGCCGCGUGGGUGAAGGAGCGUUUCGGCGCGUAAAGCCCUAUCGGCAGGGAAGAAGAUGACGGUACCUGACCAAGAAGCUCCGGCUAAAUACGUGCCAGCAGCCGCGGUAAUACGUAUGGAGCAAGCGUUAUCCGGAUUUACUGGGUGUAAAGGGAGCGUAGGCGGCCUGCCAAGUCUGAUGUGAAAUACCGGGGCUCAACCCCGGGGCUGCAUUGGAAACUGGCAGGCUGGAGUGUCGGAGAGGCAGGCGGAAUUCCUAGUGUAGCGGUGAAAUGCGUAGAUAUUAGGAGGAACACCAGUGGCGAAGGCGGCCUGCUGGACGAUGACUGACGCUGAGGCUCGAAAGCGUGGGGAGCAAACAGGAUUAGAUACCCCCGUA